UGGAGCUGUGUGGAGCUGUGUGGAGCUGCUGGAGCUGUGGGGAGCUGCUGGAGGGCGUUGGCUGUGUCUGGAUCAGACUCCACCGUCCAGGGAAAUCUCUGUUGAACAUCACAGAUGGGGAUUCUGCAGUGGUUUUAAAGUUCCUCUGGGAUUUUGGAUAAUGAGAACUUUGCCUUUCUUUACUUUUGCUGCAUUCUAAGUGUCAAUCCUACAGUGGUGUAAAGGGGCUGGAAUACUGAUUUUGGGGCAAGCACCCAGCUCUGGUGUUUUUCCUGUGGCUGCACAUUUCCUCACCGCCCUGAGCUGCUGUUUGCUGUCGUUCCUUAUCUUGUCUUGCUGCCUUAUCUGCCCCCAGAGGGAUGAGCAGCUCUGGGCUGGGCCUGAGUGCUUUGAUUGCAGCUUUUCCAGCCCCCGUUUAAGAAAUUAUCUCAAAAAAGCCGCUCUGCCAUUGCUGCUUUCCUGGGAGGCUGGAGUAGUAAGAUUGCUUGUGAUACAAGAUUUAAACCCCCAAUGUGACUGAAAUAAAUGUGAAAUGCGGGGACCGGCAGUGCUGGGAGCAGGGCAGGGGUGCGCGGGCUGCAGCUCCGGGGCGCUCCAGCAGAGCCCUCCCUUGUGCCGCGCUCCGGGGCUGUGGCUGCGCUGCAGCCUCGGGGCUCCGGGCAUGGCAAAGGGAAUUUUCCAACUUCCCGGGAAAUGCGGGGUCAGCGCUGCCCGGGGAGCUGCAGAGCAUCCCCAGCUGGGAAAGGGGACACGGCACUUCUAAUUCCCAGGGAUGCUCAGCUUUAUCCGGCCUUGGAGCUGCUUUGAGGGAGGGAUUUUGUGUCACUGAUCACCUCUGGUAAGGUUUAUCCAGUGAAUGCUCCCUGGGAGCUGCUUUGUGCCCCUUCAGCCUCGUUUGUCCCCACACUGAUGAGAGGCCCUUGGUUUGGAACCAUAUGACUGAAAAGCGCCUUUUUCCCCCCAAAGGUCUGUGAUUUUUGCUGCCUCACCUUUUGCAGUGUGGAGGAUGAGAGCUGGGGCGGCUGCUCCAUCCUCAGCAGUGCCCAGAGCUGGUCACUCCCGUUUUCCAGGGCAGCAGCACGGCUGGGUCCUCAAACAGCAUCCCUGGGAAGUUAUUUUUUAUUGAGGUAACGCUGGCAAGGAGGGGAAAGGCACCAGUACAACCCAGUCCUCAACUGGUGAGGAUGCUCUGACCUCCUGCUCCAGCCACAGGAGACAAGGCUGGAUUUAAUGGGAAGAUCUCAAGGACAAGGGAAGGGUUUGUUCAGGACUGAGGGGAUGAGCAGCAGCCCCUUCUGGGGAGUUGUGCAGGACUCCUGUGUGUGCACGACCUUUCCACGGGCAAAUCCUGCCUCAAGACAUUCCCAAGAGGGAGAACCCGGCCCCGGUGGCAGCUCAAGGUUGGUGCCUCACCAGAAGUUCCCCUGUGGUGAUUCAGUACUGGGGGGGCCUGACUGGGCCCAAAGGGGGAGCUGAGGCUCAGGGAACCUCAGCACUUCAUUCCCUCGGGGAUUUUGGCAGCCUGCUGGAGAGGGGGUGAACAGGGGGGAACAGCUCAUUUUGUGGUCACUGCAAGCUCACCAACAGCCUUGGCAGGUGCAGGAACAUCCACUGCACCCAGCUGAGCUUUGCUGAGUUACCCAGGUUAAAUUCAGAUUUGUGUAGUUUUUGUUUGGUUCCUUUUUUUAUAUAUUUAUACCAUUAUCAAAGCAUCCACUCAAAAACCGCUCAGUAUAAGCAGUGAACAACUGCAGAAAUUUGCUUUCCUCUUUCAGAUGUGCAACUGCAGCAGAACUGCAGGGCUGGGCAGGAGCAGGAGGGCUCUGGCAGCACCGGUGGCAUCCCCAGCUGGCAGUGGCAUCUCUGGGAGUGACCCAGGAGGUAAAAAAUAAUUCAGAACUGGACUUGCUGCAGAAUUCCCUGUUCAGACAUUUUAAUGUCCAGUGCCUGGCAGUGCAGAGGACAGGUGAUUAUGCAGGCCUGUCUUUGCUGCAGAAAUGGAUUUUUGGGUGCA